rnacentral:rRNA from 1 species
UUCCAGCAGCCGCGGUAAUACGGAGGGUGCAAGCGUUAAUCGGAAUUACUGGGCGUAAAGCGCGCGUAGGCGGUUGUCUAAGCUAGAUGUGAAAGCCCUGGGCUUAACCUGGGAACUGCACCUGAUACUGCCAGUCUAGAAUACGGUAGAGGGUAGUGGAAUUUCCUGUGUAGCGGUGAAAUGCGUAGAUAUAGGAAGGAACACCAGUGGCGAAGGCGACUACCUGGACCGAUAUUGACACUGAGGUGCGAAGGCGUGGGGAGCAAACAGGAUUAGAUA